rnacentral:sRNA from 15 species
CAGUUCUCCAAGACGGACGGAGCUUUCGAGUUUCGUGCUACGGCACGUCUCUCGGAGAGCCAAGACAAAUCCAAGUCAAAAACCAACAAACCAAAUAAAUGACUUAACAAAAUGCUCCCCGUCUUUAAAUUUUGGAAAAGGGUCCCAAUAGGGACCCGG